GACGAACGCUGGCGGCGUGCUUAACACAUGCAAGUCGAGCGGAGCGGCGAACGGGUGAGUAACGCGUGAGUAACUGCCCCCCUCUCAGGGAUAACCGUUGGAAAGGGCUGCUAAUACCGGACAGUGGGGGUGGACUCGCGUCCUAUCCGCUUGUUGGUGGGGUAGUGGCCUACCAAGGGGACGCCGGUUAGCCGGCCUGAGAGGGCGACCGGCCUCAUUGGGCUGAGAGACGGGCCAAUCGCCUACGGGGGGCAGGAGUGGGGAAUCUUGCACAGCGGGUGCAACCCGGCGGCAGCAAUCCGCGUGCUGAAUCACGGCUUUCUGGGUAUAAACCGCUUACAGCCUGGACGCGGUAGUGACAGAGGAAGCACCGGCUAACUACGUGCCAGCAGCCGCGGUAAUUC
rnacentral:rRNA from 1 species